rnacentral:rRNA from 1 species
AUUGAACGCUGGCGGCAUGCCUUACACAUGCAAGUCGAACGGCAGCGCGGGGCAACCUGGCGGCGAGUGGCGAACGGGUGAGUAAUAUAUCGGAACGUACCCUGGAGUGGGGGAUAACGU